rnacentral:rRNA from 1 species
GACGAACGCUGGCGGCGUGCUUAACACAUGCAAGUCGAACGGAGCUAUUUAUUUCGGUAAAUCGCUUAGUGGCAAACGGGUGAGUAACGCGUAGGCAACCUGCCCUCAGGAUGGGGACAACGGCUCGAAAGAGCCGCUAAUACCGAAUGACGUAACUCUUCCACAUGGAAGAGAUACUAAAGAUGGGUCAAACCAUCGCCUAAGGAUGGGCCUGCGUCUGAUUAGCCAGUUGGUGAGGUAACGGCUCACCAAAGCGACGAUCAGUAGCCGGUCUGAGAGGAUGAACGGCCACAAUGGGACUGAGACACGGCCCAUACUCCUACGGGAGGCAGCAGUGGGGAAUCUUCCGCAAUGGGCGAAAGCCUGACGGGAGCAAACGCCGCGUGAGUGAAGAAAGGUCUUUCGGAUCG